GGCCAUAUAAGAGAUUAGGGUUAAUUUUUUGGAGCCAUUUGAGCUUUGAAGGCUAAGGUCAAUAAGUUUAGGUUUUUGGCUAUGAUUUUGGUACAAAUCUUAUAUGAUUUGGAAUUUAUAUGAAGGAGAUAUAGGCGCUCAAAGUUAAGGUGUUGAUUUGGGAGCUACUAUCACUCUUUUUGAUAUAAUGCAUGUAUACGGAGGGCAAUUGAAGAUCGGCAACUGCAACUAGAAAGAGCACUUUUGUAGCUACACUUUUUGUAUACUGCUUGCUGGAUUUCAAGUUGGAAUGAA
rnacentral:lncRNA from 1 species